CUGAGCUAGUGAUGAGAAAAGUUAUCCCUGUCUGAAAUCGAUCUUUCCUCUGUGGAAGCAGAACUCUGAGGCUCAG
rnacentral:snoRNA from 1 species